AUUGAACGCUGGCGGCAGGCCUAACACAUGCAAGUCGAACGGUAACAGGAAGCAGCUUGCUGCUUCGCUGACGAGUGGCGGACGGGUGAGUAAUGUCUGGGAAGCUGCCUGAUGGAGGGGGAUAACUACUGGAAACGGUAGCUAAUACCGCAUAAUGUCGCAAGACCAAAGAGGGGGACCUUCGGGCCUCUUGCCAUCGGAUGUGCCCAGAUGGGAUUAGCUUGUUGGUGGGGUAACGGCUCACCAAGGCGACGAUCCCUAGCUGGUCUGAGAGGAUAACCAGCCACACUGGAACUGAGACACGGUCCAGACUCCUACGGGAGGCAGCAGUGGGGAAUAUUGCACAAUGGGCGCAAGCCUGAUGCAGCCAUGCCGCGUGUAUGAAGAAGGCCUUCGGGUUGUAAAGUACUUUCAGCGGGGAGGAAGGGAGUAAAGUUAAUACCUUUGCUCAUUGACGUUACCCGCAGAAGAAGCACCGGCUAACUCCGUG
rnacentral:rRNA from 1 species